UACAGAGGCCUCGAGCGCUAAUCGGAAUCACUGGGCUUAAAGGGUGCGUAGGCGGGUCCGUAAGUGCCUUGUGAAAUCCCAUGGCUUAACCAUGGAAUGGCUUGGUAGACUGCGGGCCUUGAGGUCGGUAGGGGCCGCUGGAACGGUUGGUGGAGCGGUGAAAUGCGUAGAUAUCAACCGGAACGCCGAAGGUGAAGACAGGCGGCUGGGCCGAUUCUGACGCUGAGGCACGAAAGCGUGGGGAGCAAAC
rnacentral:rRNA from 1 species